rnacentral:rRNA from 1 species
GUAGGUGGCAAGCGUUGUCCGGAAUUAUUGGGCGUAAAGCGCGCGCAGGCGGUCCUUUAAGUCUGAUGUGAAAGCCCACGGCUCAACCGUGGAGGGUCAUUGGAAACUGGGGGACUUGAGUACAGAAGAGGAAAGCGGAAUUCCACGUGUAGCGGUGAAAUGCGUAGAGGUGUGGAGGAACACCAGUGGCGAAGGCGGCUUUCUGGUCUGUAACUGAAGCUGAGGCGCGAAAGCGUGGGGAGCAAACAGGGAUUAGAUACCCUGGUAGUCCACGCCGUAAACGAUGAGUGCUAAGUGUUAGGGGGUUUCCCGCCCCUUAGUGCUGCAGCUAACGCAUUAAGCACUCCGCCUGGGGAGUACGGCCGCAAGGCUG